rnacentral:rRNA from 1 species
AUUGAACGCUGUCGGCAGGCCUAACACAUGCAAGUCGAGCGAGCGGCGGACGGGUGAGUAAUGUAUGGGGACUGCCCGAUAGAGGGGGAUAACUACUGGAAACGGUGGGUAAUACCGCAUACUAUCGGAUAACCCAUAUGGGAUUAGCUAGUAGGUGGGGUAAAGGCUCACCUAGGCGACGAUCUCUAGCUGGUCUGAGAGGAUGAUAAGCGACACGGGGACGGAGACACGGCCCAGACUCGUAGGGAGGCAGCCGUGGGGAAUAUUGCACAAUGGGCGCAAGCCUGAUGCAGCCAUGCCGCGUGUAUGAAGAAGGCCUUAGGGGUGUAAAGUACUUUCAGCGGGUAGGCGUUGCCCGCAGAAGAAGCACCGGCUAACUCCGUGCCAGCAGCCGCGGUAAUAC